AGAGCCUCAAAGAGCACCCAGCAUAACUGUGGGAGAAUAGUAAGCAUUGGACACAAAAUGGUUUAGGCAAAUAAUGAUGAACAAAAAUGGUCAGUCUGUGUUCCUGCUGACCCAGCACAGUGGGGACGCUGUGUAGGACAUGACCUUUGGGGGAAAGGACACAAGAACUCAGCGUGGGGGAUCCAGAAAAGAAGUCGCACGUAUUGAAGCCAGUAACGCCAAGCCAGUGAAUUCUCCUUGACGAGAAAGACCCACUUACUCUGCAGAAGAGAUAUAUGACAGCUGACAAUCCCUGGAGGAGAAUCUUUCUACUAAAUUGUAACUCCAGGUUGAAGAACUUCUACUUAUAGGCAUCUAUUCAACGAAGACGAAUCCUGGAAUGGGGAUGGAAAUGAUGGCUCAUGUCUUAGCAAACUACCAAACUGAUCCGAGAGGACAGGGAAGUCAGUGUGGGCGGCUCUAAGGAGCCUCCCUCUCUACAGCUGCGGCUCAGAGGAUUACGGCGCUUCAUCCACAAGGCAACAUUGCACAAGUAGCUUUUGAACAAAAGUCAUGGAUACUAUUAAUGAUAUGUUCCCACACACAUUUAGUGUCGUCUCAAAAUUCACGCUGUCAACUGUCUCUAGGAAUCAUUUCCAUCUGAGAACAGACCACACAAAGACACAGUGAAACUCAGUUUCUGCAGAAUUUGAUUUCAUUUGAGUUACUGGGGAACAAAGCAAUUAGACAAUGAAUAAUAGCUCAAGACAGGCUGAAGCUGAAGAUUUCUGCAAAAGAAUGAAGAGGAAACGUUUUGAUCCUGAGCAGAUGUUCUCCCUAGAUUGCUUCACCUGAGGUUGAUUGACUUUUGGAAACGAGAUUUGUUCCCAGUGCUUUGUGAGUCUCUUGUUGGAAGGACUGUCUUUAAAUUAAAGCAAUUAGAGUUACUUUAUAAGAUUUACCCAAAUAUAAGAGCUGAAGAGAAUAAUUCAAAUUGAUCAGAAGAAAAUACUCAAUUACUGACAAAUGUCAAUUACAUCAAUAGCCUAGGCUGCUCUUGAACUCCUGGGCUCAAACGAUCCUCCCCUGUCGGCCUCCCAAAGUGCUGGGAUUACAAGCUUGAACCACCAUGCCCAGCCUCAGAAAUUUUUUAAAUGACAGCUCAUACAGUUUUCUUUUAUAAAGGAGGAGAAAAUGUGUAAUUGUAAGCAGCUGAACUAAAAUAUCUCUGUGACAUUUUGCUGGUGACUCCAGCCCUGUGAGAUCUGAGUGGCUCAGGAAUCAAAUUCUCCCACAAACCUGAGGAAGCCUUUUAUUCUUAAUGCCAACAGGAUGCCCCAUGCCCAGAAUGUCAAAUCUGAACACCAAUGGAAUGCAUUUUAUAAACAAAUUGAAAAAGGACAAUCUUUAACAGAAUUGUUGUUCUCUAGGCAGAUUAGUUGUGCUUCAAAUACAAAAUGAAAUAUUAGAGAACAAAAUUAUUUUUAAACAGCUAAUACUAGUAGAAAAUAAAAGGCUGAAAAGUGC
rnacentral:lncRNA from 1 species